CAGAGACCUCAAGCGUUAUCCGGAAUUAUUGGGCGUAAAGCGUACCGACAGGUGGUUUGGUUAGUCUUGGGUGAAAUUCUGAAGCUCAACUUCAGAUUUGCUUAAGAUACUGCCAGACUAGAGGGGCAAAGAGGUAACUGGAACGAACGGUGUAGUAGUGAAAUGCGUUGAUAUCGUUCGGAACACCGAAAGCGAAGGCAGGUUACUGGGUGCCACCUGACACUGCUAGGACGAAAGCGUGGGGAGCGAAUGGGAUUAGAUACCCCAGUAGUCCACGCUGUAAACGAUGAAUACUAGGCAUGCGCGAGUAUCGACCCUCGUGCGAGCCGCAGCUAACGCGUUAAGUAUUCCGCCUGGGGAGUACGGCCGCAAGGCUA
rnacentral:rRNA from 1 species